rnacentral:rRNA from 1 species
AACGCUAGCUACAGGCUUAACACAUGCAAGUCGAGGGGCAGCAUGAUUGAAGCUUGCUUCAAUUGAUGGCGACCGGCGCACGGGUGAGUAACACGUAUCCAACCUUCCGUACACUCAGGGAUAGCCUUUCGAAAGAAAGAUUAAUACCUGAUGGUAUCUUAAGCACACAUGCAAUUAAGAUUAAAGAUUUAUCGGUGUACGAUGGGGAUGCGUUCCAUUAGGUAGUAGGCGGGGUAGCGGCCCACCUAGCCUACGAUGGAUAGGGGUUCUGAGAGGAAGGUCCCCCACAUUGGAACUGAGACACGGUCCAAACUCCUACGGGAGGCAGCAGUGAGGAAUAUUGGUCAAUGGACGAGAGUCUGAACCAGCCAAGUAGCGUGAAGGAUGAAGGUCCUACGGAUUGUAAACUUCUUUUAUAAGGGAAUAAAACCUCCCACGUGUGGGAGCUUGUAUGUACCUUAUGAAUAAGCAUCGGCUAACUCCGUGCCAGCAGCCGCGGUAAUACGGAGGAUGCGAGCGUUAUCCGGAUUUAUUGGGUUUAAAGGGAGCGCAGACGGGUCGUUAAGUCAGCUGUGAAAGUUUGGGGCUCAACCUUAAAAUUGCAGUUGAUACUGGCGUCCUUGAGUGCGGUUGAGGUGUGCGGAAUUCGUGGUGUAGCGGUGAAAUGCUUAGAUAUCACGAAGAACUCCGAUUG